CAGCAGUUUUACUGUCACAGGCAAAACAGACUCGACUUGAGGAAAUAAAUUUAAUUUAUUGCAAAUCAAAUCAGAGUAGGAUAAUAAGAAAUAAGAACAAA